rnacentral:rRNA from 1 species
GGAGGACCGAACCGACUAAUGUUGAAAAAUUAGCGGAUGACUUGUGGCUAGGGGUGAAAGGCCAAUCAAACCUGGAGAUAGCUGGUUCUCCCCGAAAGCUAUUUAGGUAGCGCCUCGGACGAAUACUACUGGGGGUAGAGCACUGUUAAGGCUAGGGGGUCAUCCCGACUUACCAACCCUUUGCAAACUCCGAAUACCAGUAAGUACUAUCCGGGAGACACACGGCGGGUGCUAACGUCCGUCGUGGAGAGGGAAACAACCCAGACCGCCAGCUAAGGUCCCAAAUUACUACUAAGUGGGAAACGAUGUGGGAAGGCUCAGACAGCCAGGAUGUUGGCUUAG